rnacentral:lncRNA from 1 species
UUUUUUUGUUUUUUUUUUUUUUUUUUUUUUUUUUUUUUUUUUUUUUUUUUUUUUUUUUUUUUUUUGUGUUGGGAACGUUUAUUUUGUAGUAUAUUUUAUUUUAUAGUGAACUAGAGCUGUGUAGUCUAAUUUUGACUGUAUCAUCCUUACUAAAAAAAAAAAAAAAAAAAACUCUUUUGCUCAAAUUAAUUUUUAUUUUUUCAUUUUAUUUUUAAUUCUUUAAGACAAUAGAUAGCUAGUAUAUAAAUGGAAUAAUACAGUAGGUAAGUCUCAUUAUGUAUACACACAUUGAAGUAAAAAUUUAAGUCUUAUUUCUAAAAAAUUUCCUUCCAUUUCUGCUAUAUAAUGUUUAAAUUCAUCCUAAGAAAUUGAUGUCAGUAAAUCAUCUAGUCUUCUUUUUCUUUUUCUUUUUUUCUUGUUUCUUUCAUUUUUCUCAAUAUAAUCAAAUGUGGUGGGUUGCUUUUAUUAUUUUUAUUCAAUUUACUUAUAUAUAUAUAUAUAUAUAUAUAUAUAUAUUUGAAAAGAAUAUUACAAUCCUUGCCUCUUCCGCUUAAUUAUUAUAUUAUUUUAUAUUUAUGUUAGUUAUGAUUAUUACCUAAUCGUGAAAGCUAGGAAUGCGAUAUUAUGCUUAAUUAAGCACACGCUAUUAAAAUUAGUCAAAUUAUAUAAUUAUUUAUAAUGAUAAAAAUAAUGAAUCAUUAUUCAGUAUUAUCGUACCACAUUGGAAACAUGGACAUUCAGAUAAUAAUUGAAAAGCAAAACCAUAAUGUUUGCUAAUUUUUCAAAGAUAAGAAAAGAAAAAAGAAAAAAGAAAGAGAAAAAGAAAGUAAAAGCCCCACGAGAGCAAAGAAUCAUAAAAGGACAAAUCCAUACGAGAUGUUUUUUAUGUUAAAUAUGGUUAAGAAAGCAAAGUAGAAAACAAGAUAGCCUACAACACAACGCAACGCUACGCAGCCCUACGCUUAUCCUCUUUGUUUUCGCUUUCCAUUUGAUUCGAGAUUUUAUCUUUUUGAAAAGGUUGGUUGAGUCGUUUCAUCUUUCUUCUGUCUUUUUCACUUUCACAUCUCUUCUUCUUCGUCUUCUUCUUCGCCCACGGAAUUUCUCAAAACUGACUAAUUCCCUGUUUUUAUCAGUUAUUUUGCUUCACUCAGAUAUCAUAAGCUGACUUUGGCAUGCCCAAUUUCAGGAAACCGUAUACUGAUAUAUAUAGUGUAUAGAUCAAUACAUUUUUAUUUUUUAUAUAAAAUUUAAUAAUAAAUUAAUUAUACAAGAAAAAAAAACACAAUUUUAUUUGAAGUAUACUGUCGAGUUAACAGGGCAUAAAAUAUAUGUGUCAUAUGCAAUUAUUCAUGCUACUUAUUGGCUACUCAUGAUCAUUGUUCGAUUUCGUAGUAUUUCUACAAGUUCGAUUUAAUCACUUUCCGUAAUUAAAUAAAUACCACAUCUGUCUCAUAAUACUUGUCUUAUUUGAAAUUUCACGUCUCUUAAAAAACCAUUAAAUUUGUCUAAGUUACAAUAAAUUAUUAAGUAAAUUAAUUAUGUUACCCUUACUUUAAUUAUAAUUCUCUAAAAAAACUAUUAAUUUGAAGUAAUAAUUAUUGGUCAUAUAUAAAUGAUAAACAUGAGAAAAAAAUAUUUAUUACUCCUUAAAACCUCAAACGUAACAAAUAUUUUAAAACAAACCACUUUCUCAAAUGUGAUAAGUAUUAUGGAACAUAGAUAAUAAUAAAAUAUCAUAAUGAUGACAAAACUAACCUAUAAACUGAACUUUUAAAAAAAAAAUAGAAACUUUAAAAAUAACUAGAUCUGAGAAUAAAAUUCAAAAUAUAGGCAAUAAUAAUUCAGAUUUAUAUCAAAAGACACAAAUAUGGAAAUUAUUCGAAAAAACACCAUAGAAAAGGGUGACCACUAGUGACAAUUCACUGGUGGCUGUCUAUACAAUAAGAAAAUAAGGCUUUUAGAUUUUAGAAGAAGAGAGAAAAACCUUUUUUUUUUUUUUUUCUCCAUUCACCCUUAAACUUUAAAUACCAGAGAACAAUAAAUAAAUGAGAAAAUAAUAAAUUAGUCUUUGAAUUAUAACCUAUUAACAAAUAAGGAUAUCUAAUUUUAAAAACUUACUAUGAAAUUUUUAAAUUAUGAUUUUAUUGAUAUUUUAUUCCUUCCGUCCAAACAGCAUAACCAAAGUCUCAAAGUUAAUCAUAAAUUUUUUCAUUUUCACAUUUAUACUUGUAUAUUCGGCAAUACCGAAACUUAUCAUUCCAAUUAAGAAAUUACCUAACAACAAUCAAAAUAUUUUUUCUUUUUUAGCAAUCGCACUAAGCCAACAUGAGAUUUGAAGCUUAAUAUGGCCAAUAUUUUAUGUAGAAAAGGAAAAUUUCAGUUCUUUUCUCAUCCCAAGUAGAAUUACUCAAGUGGUCUGAGAAAAAGGAAUGGCCAACCCAAAUUAUUUCAGUCAUGCAAAAAAUGACCAUCCAUGUUACAACAGGAGAUUACCAAAAGGAAAGUAUACCUUUAUUAUGAUUUGAAUUUAAAAUGGUCGACUAUAUAAAUUUACCUGUGAACUCUGCAACUCUUAUGAUAUUUUGAAUUUUACAAAUGUCCUAGUAAUAUUAUACACUUUUCCACAUUGAUAUUAAUAAUAUUUAAUAUUUUUACUUUUUAUUUGUAAAAUAUUAACUUGAUAUGUAAUUAACAUGAUUUUUAAAAUAACAAUUUUCAUAAAUUUUAAAUUUUUUAAUAAGUGAUUAAUUGAUAUAAUUUUACAAAUUCAAAAUGUUCAGUAAAAUAUUUUUAAAAAUUAAAGUGUUUAAUAUAUAUCAUUUUAUAAAUUAAAAUAUUUGGUAAGUCAAAAUAAAAAUUAAAAGUGUCAGUAAAAUUAAAUUGAAAAAUUACAGAGGUAAAUUUAUACGUGUGAUGGAUUUAAAAUCUUUUUAUACAUGUGAUGGAUUUAAAAUCUUACACCAACUCAAUCAACCAAGCAGCCAAUUCAAUGAUAAAAAUUAAUGUAUUAUUUACUAAAAUAAUUAAAUAUUAAUACUUAGUACCAUAUUUGUCUAGAAAGAAUUAGAUUCUUCUAGUAAACAACUAAACCUUUCAUCGUGGCCGUACGUUUCUGUCUGAACAAAGCCUCGUCAUCAACCAAAUAUUGACGAAAUAUCAAUGCUCCUGCAGCCAACAUCCAUCGCUUAUCCAUAUGCCAAGUGGAAAAUCUUUUCCCAUGUAUUUAUGACAUCAGCACUCACACAAUCCGCUUUUCUUCCCGCCCACGACAUUACCUCAUUUUCCCACUUUUCUUUCUCUGUUCAGUUCUUUAUAUUCUCUGUGAAUCUGUACUUCACUCCUUAAUUUCUCUCACAAAAUACUUUUAUUAAAAAAAUAAAUAAAUUCUACUUGAGUUUCACUGCAGAAAUGGAAGGCAACCAACUUAUUCUCAGCCGUCCAAUCAUCCAUCAAAGUAUCAGAUGGUUCCACAUCUUCAUCCUCUCGCUUGUUUACUGUUCCGCUAAUGCACAGCAGAGCACCGGAUCACGAGACACCUACCGGUUGUACUCAAAUUUCGAUCCAACAAUAGCAAUUAUCGUACUCAUUCUAAUUUGCGCUUUCUUCUUCAUCGGAAUCUUCUCCAUCUUUCUCCGUCAGUGCACGGAUACCACCGAAUUUCAGACCGUCAUCACCGGAAGACUACAUAGGGCUGGGCUUGAUCCAUCUGUGAUCGAGAAGUUUCCCGUCUUCGUUUACUCUGAAGUGAAAAAUAUCAAAAUCGGAAGAGAGACGCUAGAAUGCGCUGUUUGUUUGAGUGAAUUUGAAGAUGAUGAAACUCUUCGUUUAUUACCUAAAUGCAAUCACGUUUUCCAUCCUGAAUGUAUCGACGAGUGGUUAUCUUCUCAUGUCACUUGCCCGGUUUGCCGUGCUGAGCUCACACCAGAUUGUGGCGAAACUCAGAAAAAUUCAUCGCAACAAACAACAACAACAGAGCCGAAUCAACAAUUCUCUGCAUCUAAUCUCACUGAAACAACUAAUGAAAUCUCAAUUUCUGUUAACGAAGAGCAAAAUAGAGAUUCACAGCCACGCGUGAACAAAAAUCGGCCACCGAGAUCGGGAAUAUCAGGGAAGUUUCCGAGAUCGCAUUCAACAGGACAUUCACUGGUUCAAGCAGGAGAGAAUAUCGAAAGGUAUACGCUGAGAUUGCCAGAGGAGUUGAGAACGCACAUGCUGGCGAGUGCGAAACUGAAACGUGCUAUUAGUUUUAACGUGAUUUUAGCAACAGAAGGGAGUUCGAGGAAAGGAUAUAGAAGUGGCGGUGAAGAUAGCAAUAGAGGAAAGCAGAUCAGCCGGUCGGAUCUGUGGGGACUUCUAAUGAAUACGCCGUUUGUUUCAAGAGGCGGUUCAGUUAAAGCAUCUAAGACUGAUAACGACGGAGAUUCAGUAAACGGUAGGAACUUGUUUGCGUCGGUCAAAAAACCGUUGAAUUGCUUGAAUGCGAAAGUGGAGGGAGGAGGAGAACCGCCAAGUCGGAGUCGACCUGUCGUUUGACGUAAUUUUAUUAAUUUAUUGGUUUAUUUAUUUAUUUAAUUUAAUAAUUAAGCUCGAUUUGAAGUGGAGGAAAGGGAAACAUGGUGAAUCCAUUAAAAGCAUGCAGUGAAGGUAGAGGUGUCAAGUAGGAAUAGAGCUGUGGAAUGCUAGGCCUGGACAGAACGACAAUGAAGAGAGGUGAGUCACAUUUUUUUGGGAAGAAAUUGAGUUGAACUGAUGGACCAAAACUGCACAUAGGCAGAAGUCCUCGGAUGCCUCAUGCUUCCAAGAAGGUGAAUUGGCAUUACUAGUUUGGUGAGACUUAGUUGCAAGUUGUUGUAAGUUGUAAAUUACUAGUAUAACUUUUCUUUUUCCAAUAAUCUUUUUAACUAGAAAUCAAUAUUUAAAAAAAAAAAAAAAAAUUGCUCUCAUGUUUUCUUGCGAAUAUUAGACCUUUAGCUAUGUUAGCGAAUUUUUCUUCUUUGGUACAUUAAGAGAAGAUUAAAAAAAACUAACUAAAGAUAACCUGGGUGUGUCCAACUCUGGAUGCUUUUUAUUUUGAGGAUCAAAAGAAAUCUGAAUUUAAAAAGAAAAAGCAAAUUUGAAAAAUCAACUUCAAAACUUUCCUUGCAGUUUCAUUUAUGGAUCAAAUAAAUAAUUAAAAAGUGUUUUAAUUUUCUUUUUCUUUAUGUGUAUUAUUAAAAAUACUUCAAUCUCAAUAAAAAUUUUUUAUUUUAAUUGAUUUAAUCCAUUAACAGAACCAUAAAUAUAGCUUAGAUAAGUUUUUUCCAAAUAUACCAGAGGAUUCGAACACAAUAGUAGGAUUAUGAACUACAUGGACCAUGACUCAACCGAGUGGCUUGAUUAGUUAACUCAUCAGCAAUGCUGGUGGCGUCCCCAUAAAUGUUGUUAAGAGAAGCAUUGCCAACUUCUCUCCAAUAACGCUGAGGUCAGAUUCUUGUACCCCAACCAAGAAACAAUAACAAUAGCAACCGCCAUGCCUAAUAUAUAAAACACUAAAUUAUAACUUCAAUGUCUUACAUGUCUUUGUAAUUCCUCUAAUUCAACCAGUAAUUUUAAUUAACUGCUGCAUUGUGUAAAAGAAUUCAAAAUUAGAAUAACGCAAUCAAUGAAAAAGAAAUAUUAUAUAUAAUAAAGGCUUAAUUGUAUUAUAGACUUUCAGAAUUUCACUUUUUUUUUAUUUUACUGUCAAAUUUAUUCUAAUUUUGAUCUUUUGUCACAGUAACACCCUUACUUAUACUCAAGGAUGGAAUUGUAAAUAAAAAAGUGUUACUAGCCUUUUCUUUUAGUUUAGUAUCUUAUUAUUGAAUAAAUAAAAAAAUUAAUAAUAAAAUAAAAUUUCAAAUUCAUUUUGAAUAUUAAAUUAUAUUCCUAUUUAGUAGGUGAUAUAUUUAUAGAUUAAAAAAAUAUAAUAUUUAAGAAGUUUUUUUUUUUUAAUCAAUCUGAAAAAUAUAAGAAUUAAGUUUUUUAUCCAUAACAUAUAGAUAAUAAAAAACAAAGUAUGUAAUUGAAAAAAUAAUAUUAAUUAAUUUAAUUUUUACUUCAUGCUUUAAAAUUUACAAAACUCCAUGAUAAAUAACUUUGCAUAAGAUUUUGUAAUCUAUUAACGUUAUUUUGCAAUUAAAUUAAUUUUGUAUUUUAAGAAUUUUCAAAUCAUUCCAAAAGUAGAAUUUAUAAAAAUAUUAGAAAACUAACAUAUAUACCAAUAAAUUUUUAAGGAAACAUUGAAAUUACGUGAUUUUUAAUAAAUUAAUUAUCUAUAAUUAAUUUAAUCCAACAUGUAACGUGUAAUUUAACUAUUGAAUUACAUAUAACGUUCAAAACAUAAAUAAUUUAAUCAAUAUAUAAUAAUUACAAUAAACAAUAAAAAAUUAAAAAUAAAAUAUGUGAAUUUUAUAAAUGAGUGUAAACAAAUUAUGUAUAGCUACGUGUAACUUCAAAAUCUUUUCAUAGAUGGAUUAUUCCUUCCAAUAAUAAUACAUAAGUCACUUUCUUAACCUAGUGACACCAUGACAAGAUAAAAAAGUUUUAUAAUCAAAAGCAUUCUAGCUACUUAAUUUGAAAUAAUAUAAGUUCUCUUUAUAUAUAUAUAUAUAUGCUCAAUUAUUAGGGUGAGUCUUGUAAGGACUUAAUGUUAUUAAUAACAAAUAAAACCAAUUAAUUUUUUUUUUUCGAAAGGAAAUAAAAUUAAUCAAGUUAGGUAAGAAACCCUAAUAAUUUUUUAAAUUUUUUUUUUUAAAAAAAAUGUCUACAUCUUAUUGCUAAUUUUCUAACCCACUAUAAUGAUUGUAAAUUUAUCUUUAUUAAUCUUUUAUUUUACCUUCAAAUCCUCUUUUUAUUUAAUUUAUUUUACUACUAAAAGAAUAUAUAUCCAUGUAAAACUGCCGACACUUAUUCUAUGACCAUCAAAUCAAUCACAAUAGAUAUUUUUGAGAAUUUUUAUUUAUUUAUUUUUUUUUUUGCGUUAGACAUAUUUAGACUCUAUCUAUAACCUUAUAUAAAAACCAAACCAACAAGACUUUAUCUGUUUUUUUUUUAUUUCUUUCUAGUAUAUGAUAAAAAAUAAUUUCAUUUCAAUAGAAAAAUUAUUUUUCAUUGAUUUGGUCUAUAAAUUAGUCCAUAGAUCGAGUUUAGAUAAAUCAAUCUUAUUUUUUUCCAACAAAAUAUCAGAAAUAUCACCGUUUAAAAAAAAUAAUAUUUUUCUCUCAUUUAUUCCAUUGGUGGCCCUAGGAGUGGGUUUUAGUUCCAAAAAAUCUGAAACCGGAACCAAACCAUAAAGUGACAGUUUCAAUUAUGGUUUCUUAAUAGGUCCAAAACCAACGGUUCCAGCCGGUCUUUCGACUGAUUUUUCGGUGAAUCUUAUAAUUAUAAAAUAAAAAAUUAGGGAACAUUUUUUUUUUGAAAAUUUAAAAUUAAAGAUUUAUGAAAUAAUUUUAGAAAAAAAGUUUAAUAAAAAAUUAAAAAAAAUACUUGAACUUAAUUUAUUUUUUUAAAUGAAAAUGGGUAUUUAUACUAAAUCCAAAAAAUCAACUUUCCACAGGUGCCCUUAAAAUUAGCCGUUAUAUAUUUGUUAGAAAAGUUAAUUUAGAGAUUUCACAAAAAUAUUAAAAAAAUAAAAAAUAAUUGUUGGAAUUGGGUUGAACCGCCGGUUUUAACAAGUUGAAAAAAACGUCGAUUCUGACUGAUUCUUAGAACUACUGGUUCACGGUUCACAAAAGUUGGAACUAAAACCGAACCGCAGACCCUCGAUUUCAAUUUAGGUUCGGACCAAUUGUGAUACCUACUGGUUCCGAAAACCGUGAAAUAGUCACCUCUAGGUGGCCUCAUAUACCAAGUCUAAGUAAGUCAUUAUUAGAUAUCUCAUUUAAUAAUUGCAUACGAGAUCGAUAUCUUUAGAAUAGGGAGUAAUUAUAUUUAAAGAUUUCUCUAAGACGUUGGUUCCACCGCUUAAUCUUAUGAUGACAAUGUAAAUCUAGUGCAAUUAACCGGUAGACCCACUUAUCUUGUGUCAUCCUCUUUAAUUCCAAGCUAGCCAUAGUUAGAGAUUACUAAAGGUUUUCUUGAAUUUGAAGCUAUAGAUACUGUUUCCAGAUGAUGUAACAUGUUAGUAGCAAAAGCAUUUCCUCCCCUUGAAUUUGAAACGUUGUGACCAUUAAAAGGAUGCUGGAAUAUCCUAAUAGUCAAAUAUGGUGGCUCAUUCAUCACCAGCAUCAGCUUUUCUCUUCUGCAACUGGUAGGAACUUGUUGGUCCACGUCCUGUAGCUCUGCAAUAAAGGUUCUUUCUCCUUUAAUAUCAAACUAUCAAGUCAAGACUUAAAAGCAUUUCAACCGCCAAGUAUCACGUGUUUCACCAGGUUAAGCAAUCAAAAGCUUACAGCAUAAAGUGUUGAAUGAAUCUGUUGAUAUCUUAUUCAAUGAUCAAUGCUUCAAGACUUGAAGCCUAGCAAGCAACCAUAUAUAUAUAUAUAUAUAUAUAUAUUCUGGGAUUUGUUUAUAUUUUUUUUAUUUAGCAGUAAGUGAUAUCUGAGGUAAACUAUUUAUUAGUGUGAAAGCAUCAAUAUGUUUGGUUCAAUCUGAGUCAAAAAUAGUCAAACUUGAAUUAUUCGAUCCUUUUUUUCUAUGAUGAAAGUGAAAUUCAUAGAAAUUUUUGAAGCAAUCAUAUUAAAUUGAAUCAAAUUAAUUUGGUAUGAUUUGAUUUAAUUUUUUUUUUAAUAUUGUGAUUUAACUUAAAGUUUGUCUUUUUAAUCUAAAAAACAAUAUGUAAAAAAUAUUUCAGUUUUUAUUAGGUUGAGUUGGAUUGUUUCAUUUUAUUCAAUUUUGAUUUAUUUUUCAAAUUUUCUAUAAAAAAUCAAAUCAAAAGGAAAUAAUUGAAAAUUUGGAAUUUAUAAAUCAAAUUAAAUCGACUAGUGCUCAUCUAUAGGUUGUAGCUCAGUUGACAAUGUAAGCUGGGCAUGUGGAAAGAGCUUUCGGAUUUGGUCUCUACUAAACAUAUCUGUAGAAAAGAACGAAGAGCCUUAAUUGUAAAUAUGUCCAAAGUUGGAUUAAACGAUCCUUAGUAUUAAGAUCCGAAUACCAGUAAUUUACACGAACAAAACAUCAAUUAGUGCUCACCCAUUACACCGAGACUAGAAAAUUUACAAAUAUAAAAUGCUUGUGAUUUUUUAAAAAAUAAAAAUCCUAGAAUAACUAACAUACAGGCACUAAAAAGUUUCAUAAUGGUGUUUCAUAUUUGAAAAUAGAUAGAACAGAGACUCACAUAAGGUUUAUUUUUUAUUUUGAAGAUCAAAGAGACCAUUUUAUUAACUUUGUUGAGGGGAUAAAAAACUUUCAUGUUAUAUGAUCCGACUAGAUUAAAUCUUCUGGUUAUACAAAAAAAAAAAAAAAAAAAAGAGAGAGAGAGAGAGAGAGAGAGAGAAUACUUCAUUAACUUUGAUAAAAGGAAAACAAACAAGAGAGAAUGGAAUUCCAAACAAAGAGACCAACACGAUGGUAAGAAGCUUUAGCUUAUUUACGAAUCCAACAAACAAAAAUGUCAUUUCUACCAUGAAAAUCAAACUUACAAUCCUCGAUUAUUUUACUAAAGUCUGAACGAUCAAUUAAGGAAGAGUAAAUAGUAUAAACUAAAGUUUGUGAGUCUGAGAAAAUAAAUCCACGAUGAAGCAUAUUAUUUGCAGCCCAAAGAAAAGUAGAACGCAUUGCCAUGGCUUCAACCAAAUCAGUUCCACCAAAUAAAUGAAAAAUGCUUUUUGUUGCCUUGAGAAAAAUACCUUCUUGACUCUCAAAAAUAGCCUCAAAUUUGGUAAAUUCAUUUCAAUUGUAACCUAUAAAAAAAAUUUUAUUUUGGAAACUGUUAGUUAACUUUUGAAAAUAAUAAAUAAAAUGUGAUAACUCACAUUAAGGAGUGAUAGGAUAAUAGUAUCAACUAUAAAUUAAAUAGAAAGUGGUUUUACAAUGCAAUAAUAAAUAAUUUGUGCCUUUUAAUUAUAGAAAUAACAACGACGGUUCAAUAAUUAAAUAUAUAUAUAUUCAAGGAGUAUUUUUUUUUAUACAUAAGAAGAAGAAAACUGAGGACUACACCAUAUAGAGAAAGCUAUACGAGCAAUAUUAUGAGAAAAUCAAGGAAGAACACCAUAGGACGCCGGUCAAGAAUCUGAAGACCGAAACCAGUAGAAGAAGCAAAUGUUGCUAGCUAGCCCGCACUGAAAUAUGAGUAAUCGAAAAAACGGAAUCAAAUUGGUGUUAGGCCUAAAAGGGACCCUUAGAAGAGUGAUUGGAUUUCUACCUUAGAGUUAGAACUAUUGAGCCUGCUUCUCUUUCCCAUGAACAUAGCCUUAGGCCUAUGACGUGAGCACAAACCCAACUAUAAUUGGGACCCAGCCCAACCAAAAGGUUUUAUUAAACUGCUUGUUUCCUUUUUUUUUUUUUUUACAACUAAGAGUGUAAUCCCUUAUGGAUUUUUUAUUCCUGCCAGUAAAAUGUGUUUCUAUAUAUGAUACGAAUAUUAUUAUUUUUAAAACCCUUGACUCUAUAGAUCGCAAACAUUUUAUAUCCUUCCAAUAAUGAAUUUUUAAAAAAUCAAACUUAUAGUUUCACCUUUAUAGAAAUUGAGAUGAUUUAAAUUUAUCGACCAACUGACAUAUCAUCUUGCAAAUAGGAUACAGUCCAUAUAAAUAUGAGGUACUAGCAGAUAUUUUUUUUUUAAAUGUUCUAAUAAAUACUUGAGUGAGAUGGUUUGUCCUAUUCAUGGCAUUAGAUUAUAUUUAGAUUAUAUGUAGAUUGAUAACAAAAUAUGGAGACUUGGCCGACAAAAACCAAACUGCGGAAUGGACCCACAGGCAGCUAGGUUGAGUUAUUGUCAUUAUCACUAAUUAAUAAACAAUAAUCAUUCAUUUGGUUGAUUAAAUUAGAUUAGCUUCUUUUGCUGUCACAAUUAUGUAUGUACAACUUUUUCUAAUCUUGGAACAGACUUUUAAUUUCUCUCUCUCUUUCUCCUUUUAAAAAAAUAAUUCUCUCUUUUUUUUAUACCUUUUCAUGUUUUUUACUUUUUAUACAUCAAUCUAACCGUUAAAAAAUAAUUUCAUGAUUGAAUUAGAGAAAGACUAAAUAAAUAAAAAAUCUCUUUUGAAAAAUCGAUGCUUCUUGAUUAUGCUUUAACUAAUCAUCUCUUAGGAUUUAUUACAAAUCAUAAGACUUUGAGGGAUUAUGAAGAUUCAAACUUUUCUUUUCUUAAUUACUUACUAUUAAUUUAUAAUAUAGUUACUCCUAGAAAGUCUUAAAUCUUGAGGAAGAAGAGAUUAUCACCAACCCUUUUAUUAGUUUUUGAAAAAUGUUUAGUUUAUAAAGGAAAAUAAAUAAUAAAUAAAAUUAUAACCAUAUCAAUAGAACUCUCACUAUAGGUUGUCAGACAAAGAAACUCAAUCAUCCUUAAACUAUUAUUAUAUCUUUUUAUUCAUAAAUGUAUAUUGUAUUAAAUCAUGUUACAUGUAUACAUAUAAUUGUUAGUUAACUUACUAUUUUUAAACUAUCAUAAAUAUAAUGUUUAUGUUCUUUUUUUAAUAUUUAUCUCAAUUACAAAUUCAGGACAUCAAUUUCCACAUCUAUAAAAAUUAAAUCUGCUCUCAAGGAAAUUUAAAUAUGAGUUCCUCAGAGUUAACUUAUAUAUAUGUUCAAAAAUUACCGCUAAAAUUCGAUAUUAUUAAAAAUCAAAACCUAAUCAAAUAUCUAUCGAUUAAUUAUUAAUUAUUAUACUAUUCAACCCAAAUUCAAAACACAGAUUAAUAAAACAAGUUUGGAAAAAAUAUUUGCUCACUAAGCCCCACAUAUCUUUUUGAGAUAAAAUUUGUUUCCUAUAUUAUUUUUUGCUCUCCUUAUCACUAUGCCCUACAAAUACCAAAACCAAUAAAUUCAAAAUUAAUAAGGCAAACCAGUAAAAUUAAUCCCACAAGUGACAAGCCCCUUUCCUUGUAUUAUCAUCUUCAUCUCUUUUUUCUGUGUAAAUCACCUUCUCCAAUCCUUUUCCUCUCUAAUUUGCCUUCAUGGGACGCAUAACAAAUCUAAGAGACCUAGUAGGCUUAAUCAAAGACAAAGCUUCUCAGAGCAAAGCAGCCAUAAUUUCAAAACCCAAGAAUUUCUCUCUUCAAUUAGCCCUUCUUAGAGCCACAACUCAUGAUCCCUUUACACCUCCAAAUCCAAAACACAUAACCACUAUGCUUUCUUAUGGCCAUAGCUCACGCGCCAUCGCUUCCCCCGCCAUCGAAGCCCUUAUGGACCGGCUGCAGUCUACCCACGACUCAUCUGUAGCUAUCAAGUGUCUUACAAUUGUCCAUCAUAUAAUCAAGCAUGGUAGUUUUAUUCUCCAGGAUCAGCUUUCUGUGUAUCCUUCUACAGGCGGUAGAAACUACCUCAAAUUAUCAAGCUUUAGAGAUACUACAACACCCAUAACAUGGGAAUUGUCUUCUUGGGUUAGAUGGUACCAUAACAAACUCUUCAUGUUUUUUCUUUUCUUUUUCCUUUUCUGUUAAUUGAGCUAAAAUUCGCAGUACAAGGAUUACAACGACUAAGUUAUAAUCUCAAACUAGUUGGAUCGUUUAUAUGAAAUUCAUUUGUUUCGAUUCUGAUAUAUUUAAAGCUUAAAUUGGAAAUAUCAUAUAUAUAUUUUUUGGUUAAUUUUGGAAAUUUCAGGUAUGCCAGAUACCUUGAGCAUCUCUUAUCAACCUCUAGAGUACUGGGUUUCUUUCUAUGUUCAACUUCAAACACAGCAGAGAAAGAUAAAGAAGAAGAGAAAGUUUCAGCACUUACAAAUCCUCACCUUCUCAAAGAGAUAGAUUCCUUAGCAAAUUUAAUGGAAGAAACAUGCAAAAGACCCGAUUCUUUGCAUCUGCAUGGCAAUGGCUUAGUUGACCAGGUCAUCAACUUGGUAAGUGACGAUUAUUUGUCGUCUAUAAAUGAAAUCGCUAUAAGGAUUGACGAGUUUAACCAAAGACUGAGUUGCUUGAGUUUUGGUGACUCGGUCGAGUUGGUAUGCGUUUUAAAAAGACUAGAGAAUUGUAAAGAAAGACUACUGGCUUUGUUUGGUAGGAAGAAAGCAUUGGUCGAAAUUGUUUGGUGUUUGAUAAGUGAAAUGAAGGAAAAGGUAGGGAAUACAGAAGAUGGGAGAUUGUCGCUUGCCAUCGGAGGGAAAGAGAGUGAAAGUGAGUCAGCUCGGUUUGGAGAACGAGUUCUGAGUUUUGGGGCGUCAGUUAAGUUUUCUUCUGGGAGAUUUUGAUUGGCAAUUGUAGAAUCACUUGGAUAAUGCGCAGGAUGAAAAUCACUUGGAUUAAACUUACUUUUUUUUUUUUUUUUUAGUAUAUUUUUAAACUUACAGUUAGUAUUAGUGAUUUUAUGACAUUUUGCACAUAUUUAUUAUUAAUUUUUUAGUUAUUCUUGGAUGGGUUGUCUUUUUAAUUUUGGGAUUUAACCCUUUUCCUUUCAUGAUACAAAGAAUAUAUGUAACAUCUGCAAUGUAAACGUCUUUUAAUUACUCUAAAUUAUAAUAAAGUCAAUAAUAAUUUGAUUAAAUUAGCAUUUAUUUCACAUUAUUAUAUUAAGGAUAAAAUUGAAAAAUAAUUAUAUAUUAUUCCUUAAAUUAUUAGUUUGAUCCCUUCUUUUGUAAAUUCCAACUUCGCCCCUAGUUAGAUGUAGCUGGUUGAUUGAAUUAGCAGUGGACAUAAUCUAUUUUUGGGGUUAUAAGACCUGUGGGGAAAGGAUCGGAACUUAAAAAACGACAGUUAUAUAUAUUUUAUAUAGAAAAAGGAAAUUAAACAAUAGUCACCGACUCGUUGGCGUUGCGCCUCCUUACAACAGUUCACCUACCUUGAAAGAAACAUUUGACAAAAUUAUUAUUAUUAUUAUUAUUUCAUAUUAAUUUAACAAAGUAAAACAAUCUCAACAUCAUUCGUACGCAACAACUUUUUUUUAUCCUCUGAUUUGUACACAUCAUGUGCACUUACAAUAUUUUGGUAUUCCUAAUAAUAUUCAAUCUCACAUUUCUACCAAAUACAUAGUUCUUUUUUUUUCUUUUUGAACUAUCAGUUUUUUAAGAGCUUUUAUAAAAAAGUACGAAAAGGAAUGGAUGAUUCAUUUCUUUAAUUUUAGUAGCGCUGGCUUCCUAAUUGAAGAGUUUGACGUGGCGAAAAUAUGAUUAAAUUCAACAAAAUAAACUGACAACACCUUAGUCUAACAUUACAAAUUAAAAAGUUCUAAUUUCAUUGGAAACUAACCUCUUUUAAACUAACUAAUAAUAGCGUUAGUAUCCGCGUGAUGCGUGGAGCAGCAUUAAAAGAUAAAAUAAUUUUUUAUAGCAUCAUUUAAAAAUAAUAAAAAAUUACAUAAUAAAAUGAUCAUGAAAUGCAUUACAAAUACUGAAUUCAUUUAAUGACACGAUUAUAAAUUAGGUACCUAAAUCCGUUUUGAAAUUCACCUUUAAUAACCGAACCUAUCCUGAACCCAUUUAAAUACUUGUUUAUAUUAAAAUAUUGUUGGUUUUUCAAAAAUAAAAAAUAAGUAAAUUUUGUAAAAUUAUUAUUUUGAUCUAAUAAAAAAAUAUAAUAUAAAUAUUAAAUAUAAUUAUAACUUUAAUUAUAAUUAAAAAGGUGUAUAUAUAUAUAUAUAUAUAUAUAUAUAAUUUUUUUUAGAAGAAUAAUUAUUUUAAAUAUUUUUGAAUAUUAAUUAAACGGGUAACAGGUACCUAAGUUCUUGAACUAGAUCCGAACUCGAUACAGGUAAUAAAAAUACUAUUCGAACCGUCUCAAACCCAUUUAUUCACUACCUAAAUCCACUAAAAUCAUAUUGAAUCUGAUUGGGCACCCGUCGAGUCGGGUAAAAUUUCCAUCCCUAAUUAAGAUAUAUUUUCUUAAGUAUCCGCUGAAGCCUUUCACUAACAAUAAAAAAAGUCAUGCAUGAUAUGUCAUAUAUCAAAGAAUGCAUACAUAUUAUUAAUGUAUUUUUCAACAGUAAUAAUAAUUUUGAUAAUUUAACUAAUUAUAUUGAAAUAAAAAUUAAGUAUUUUUUAAUUUUUACAUUUAUGAUUUAUUAUAAAUGAUUAUUUAUUUAUUUGAAAUAUUGACUUAUUAUUUAUUUAGCGUAGUGUGUCUUAUGCAUGUAAACGUCCUACUUGUUUAAAAAUUAUUAUAUCAUGUACAUUCUCAUAUCUCUUAUCCCUUGUCCGUGCAACUUAACUCCUGAUAUAUGAGACUACUUCAUACAUCAAGCUAAUAAACCAAGAUUUUUUUUUAAUUACCAAUAAAAUGAAGUGUUUUUUUAUUUAUUUCUAUGUCAUUGAAAUAAGGAAUUAAUUUUUUUAUUUUAUGUUUAUAAUUUAUGACAAAUGAUUGUUUAUUUAUUUGUAAUAUUAAUGUAUUAUUUAUUUAGUAUAGUGUGUCCUAAGUGUGUAGAUGUCUUAUUUUUUAAAAAAUUAUUGUAUCUCGUAUGUUUUCGUAUAUCGUUUCUCGUGUCCAUACAACCUAACUCCUAGCAUACAAGAUUAUUCCAUAAAUCAAGCUAAUCAGCCAAAGUUUUUUUUUUUUAAUUACUAAUUAAAAAUGAAGUGUUUUUUUUAUUUGUUUUUGUGUCAUCAAAAUAAAAAGUUUAUGUUUAUAAUUUAUUAUAAAUGAUUAUAUAUUUAUUUAAAAUAUUAAUGUAUUGCUUAUUUAGGAUAGUGUGUUUAAAGCAUGUGAAUGUCCUACUUUUCAAAAACUAUCGUAUCUUUAUGUUCCAAUUUAUAUUUUUAAAUUACUUAUAUAUAUUUAUUUAAUAGUAAUAUAUUAUUUAUUCACACUUUUUAAUCAUAUAGAUUACUUAUUAAUUGUUUUGUAAUGAGAAAUAAAUUUAUAUUAAUAUUUUAAUAUAUUAAUGCUAAAGAUAAUCUUAUUACAACUUAUCUUCUUACAAUUAUAUAUUAUCUUCUUACAAUUGUACCUACUCUCACUACACGUGGUAAUUUCAGAUACUUAAAUUUGACUGUCAUCUAGGGUAAACUUCUCUACUUUUAUAUAUUAUAUAGAUUUUAAGAAAUAUCCAAAAAAAAUUCAAAUAAACCAAAUAAUAAUAAUAAUAAAGUCAUGGUGAGGUCAAUCCAGCCCAAAUUACUGCUUUCAAAUAAUUAAUUGUUCAAUAAUAAAAGCCCACAAAAUGUAAGGACCCAAAAGAUCAAUCCAGCCCAGCUGGAUCUGUUGGGCUCAUUUUGAUAUUAUUUAGCAGUUCAGUUUUCAGACCUCGGUCUGAAUAAUCUUUUCAUUCGGAAAAAUAGUAAUUAAUUUAUAAAAAGUGGUUCAAAUGGUAAAAUAUGUUUGAAAUCAGCAGACGAUCUCUAUAAAAAUAAGAAUAUGACCUGUGAAAAUUUGCUUAUAAAAAUGAAUCAAGAUAAAAAAUGAUAGAAAAAUUAAUCAUGGACAAGUAAGAAAAAAAGAAUAAUAACCAUUACCACAAAUUGCAUUUCAUUGGAGAUUAUUGCAUGUCACAGGAAUUAAAUCAAUUUUAACAUGCAGCCAUUAGGAGAGAGAGACCACUUAGUAAUAAACACCGAUCCCCAAAUCUCACUUU